AGUGAACGCUGGCGGUAGGCCUAACACAUGCAAGUCGAACGGCAGCACAGGAGAGCUUGCUCUCUGGGUGGCGAGUGGCGGACGGGUGAGGAAUACAUCGGAAUCUACUCUGUCGUGGGGGAUAACGUAGGGAAACUUACGCUAAUACCGCAUACGACCUACGGGUGAAAGCAGGGGACCUUCGGGCCUUGCGCGAAUGAAUGAGCCGAUGUCGGAUUAGCUAGUUGGCGGGGUAAAGGCCCACCAAGGCGACGAUCCGUAGCUGGUCUGAGAGGAUGAUCAGCCACACUGGAACUGAGACACGGUCCAGACUCCUACGGGAGGCAGCAGUGGGGAAUAUUGGACAAUGGGCGCAAGCCUGAUCCAGCCAUACCGCGUGGGUGAAGAAGGCCUUCGGGUUGUAAAGCCCUUUUGUUGGGAAAGAAAUCCAGCUGGCUAAUACCCGGUUGGGAUGACGGUACCCAAAGGAUAAGCACUGGCUAACUUCGUGCAGCCGCCGCCGUAA
rnacentral:rRNA from 1 species